rnacentral:rRNA from 1 species
GGAAAACUUACCAGGUCCAGACAUAGUAAGGAUUGACAGAUUGACAGCUCUUUCUUGAUACUAUGGGUGGUGGUGCAUGGCCGUUCUUAGUUGGUGGAGUGAUUUGUCUGGUUAAUUCCGUUAACGAACGAGACCUUAACCUGCUAAAUAGCUACGUGAAACUUCGCGUUUCAUGGGUAUGCUUCUUAGAGGGACUUUGCGUGUUUAACGCAAGGAAGUUUGAGGCAAUAA